rnacentral:tRNA from 1 species
CCUGGUGGCUCAGAAGGUAAAGCAUCUGCCUACAAUGCAGGAGACCCAGGUUUGAUCCCUGGGUCAGGA